CAUAAUCAAUCAAAUUUAAUGUAACUGUCAUCUGAGAUUUAAAUUAAUCAUAUUCCUGAUUAAUUAUUCAAAUUCCCUAUAUAUCAUUUGAGUUAAUUACUAUGUAAAACUCAUUGUUGUUACAUAUCUCACGCUAUUACCUCCAACACUGGUGUACACACUGGAUUUUAUCUGGCCUGUUGGUACAGAAGAAAGUGCUCAACGGGAGCAUGACCCUUAUUAAUGGAUCUGAAGCUCUUAGUCCAGAGGUGUCCAAUCCCGCUGCUGGAAGCUCAAAGUCCGGCAGAAUUUAGGGCUGCAUCCAAAAGCUGGAAAACCUUGCCCCUCCAGGCAGCAGAGGGCAACAAGACUUGUCGUAAUCCUACGAUUGUGCCAUAUCCUGUCUACUGAGAGACAGAGGACCCCGCACAUCAUGGCCACACUGUACAUAAACCAAAAGGGAGAGAAACCAGUAGAAGCCUGUGGCUUCUUUACAUGCAAAUAACUUCACAGGUUUCACUGGAUGAGUUGGAAUAUCACAGUCAUAAAAAGGAAGGCAGUUCAAGUCAUCGUAGCCACCAGAUCCAGUCUGUAUCCAGAUCAGAGGGUCACUGCAGUCACCCG